rnacentral:lncRNA from 1 species
GUUGGAAAAAAGUUCCUACAAAGGUUUUGGACAGUGAUUUGAACCCUAACGCCAAAAAACUUAAACCUUACCCUAGCCUUAAAAUCUAAUACCCAGGUAUUACAUUCAGGAAGCCCGUAAACCCCAAAUAUAUAUUUUUUUAUUUUUCAUUUUUUUUGGUCUUACUAACUCCAAAAGGUUGGAAAAGAGUUCCUACAAAGGUUUUGGACAGUGAUUUUAAUCCUAACGCCAAAAAACUUAAACCUUACCAUAGCCCCAUAACCUAAUACCCGGGUAUUACUUUUAGGAAGCCUGAACACCCCAAAUAUUUUUUUUUUCAUUUUACAUUUUUGUUGGUGUAACUAACUCCAAAAGGUUCGAAAAGAGUUCCUACAAAGGUUUUGGACAGUGAUUUUAACCCUAACGCCAAAAAACUUAAACCUUACCAUAGCCCCAUAACCUAAUACCGGGGUAUUACUUUUAGGAAGCCUGAACACCCCAAAUAUUUUUUUUUUCAUUUUUCAUUUUUUUUUUUUGGUCUAAGUAACUCCAAAAGGUUGGAAAAGAGUUCCUACAAAGGUUUUGGACAGUGAUUUUAACCCUAACGCCAAAAACUUUAAACCUUACCAUAGCCCCAUAACCUAAUACCCGGGUAUUACUUUUAGGAAGCCAGAACACCCCAAAUAUUUUUUUUUCAUUUUUCAUUUUUUUUUUGGUCUAACUAACUCCAAAAGGUUGGGAAAGAGUUCCUACAAAGGUUUUGGACAGUGAUUUUAACCCUAACGCCAAAAACCUUAAACCUUACCAUAGCCCCAAAACCUAAUACCGGGGUAUUACUUUUAGGAAGCCUGAACACCCCAAAUAUUUUUUUUUCAUUUUUCAUUUUUUUUUGGUCUAACUAACUCCAAAAGGUUAGAAAAGAGUUCCUACAAAGGUUUUGGACAGUGAUUUUAACCCUAACGCCAAAAACCUUAAACUUUUCCCUAGUCCCAAAACCUAAUACCCGGGUAUUACUUUCAGGGAGCCCGAAAACCCCCAAUAAUUUUUUUUUCUUUUUUCAUUUUUUUUUUGGUCUAAGUAACUCCAAAAGUUUGGAAAAGAGUUCCUACAAAGGUUUUGGACAGUGAUUUUAACCCUAACGCCAUUAAGCUUAAACCUUACCAUAAGCUUUAAAUCUAAUACCCGGUUAUUACCACAGGAAGCCCGAAAACCCCAAAUAUUUUUUUUUCCUUUUUCAUAUUUUUUUGGUCUAAGUAACUCCAAAAGGUUGGAAAAGAGUUCCUACAAAGGUUUUGGACAGUGAUUUUAAACCUAAUGCCAAAAACCUUAAACCAUACCAUAGCCCCAUAACCUAAUACCCGGGUAUUACCUUCACGAAGCCCGAAAACCCCAAACAUUUUUUUUUCAUUUUACAUUUUUUUUUGGUCUAACUAACUCCAAAAGGUUGGGAAAGAGUUCCUACAAAGGUUUUGGACAGCGAUUUUAACCCUAAUGCCAAAAACUUUAAACCUUACCAUAACCCCAUAACCUAAUACCCGGGUAUUACUUUUAGUAAGCCUGAACACCCCAAAUAUUUUUUUUUCAUUUUUCUUUUUUUUUUUUGGUCUAACUAACUCCAAAAGUUUGGAAAAGAGUUCCUACAAAGGUUUUGGACAGUGAUUUUAAACCUAAUGCCAAAAACCUUAAACCUUACCAUAGCCCCAUAACCUAAUACCUGGGUAUUACCUUCAGGAAGCCCGAACACCCCAAAUAUUUUUUUUUCCUUUUUCAUAUUUUUUGGUCUAAGUAACUCCAAAAGGUUGGAAAAGAGUUCCUACAAAGGUUUUGGACAGUGAUUUUAACCCUAACGCCAAAAACCUUAAACCUUACCAUAGCCCCAAAACCUAAUACCGGGGUAUUACUUUUAGGAAGCCUGAACACCCCAAAUAUUUUUUUUUCAUUUUUCAUUUUUUUUUGGUCUAACUAACUCCAAAAGGUUAGAAAAGAGUUCCUACAAAGGUUUUGGACAGUGAUUUUAACCCUAACGCCAAAAACCUUAAACUUUUCCCUAGUCCCAAAACCUAAAACCCGGGUAUUACUUUCAGGGAGCCCGAAAACCCCCAAUAAUUUUUUUUUCUUUUUUCAUUUUUUUUUUUGGUCUAAGUAACUCCAAAAGUUUGGAAAAGAGUUCCUACAAAGGUUUUGGACAGUGAUUUUAACCCUAACGCCAUUAAGCUUAAACCUUACCAUAACCUUUAAAUCUAAUACCCGGGUAUUACCACAGGAAGCCCGAAAACCCCAAAUAUUUUUUUUUCCUUUUUCAUAUUUUUUUGGUCUAAGUAACUCCAAAAGGUUGGAAAAGAGUUCCUACAAAGGUUUUGGACAGUGAUUUUAACCCUAACGCCAAAAACCUUAAACCUUACCAUAGCCCCAUAACCUAAUACCGGGGUAUUACUUUUAGGAAGCCCGAAAACCCCAAAUAUUUGUUUUUCAUUUUUCAUUUUUUUUUGGUCUAAGUAACUCCAAAAGGUUCGAAAAGAGUUCCUACAAAGGUUUUGGACAGUGAUUUUAACCCUAACGCCAUAAAACUUAAACCUUACCCUAGCCUUAAAAUCUAAUACCCGGGUAUUACAUUCAGGAAGCCCGAAAACCCCAAACAUUUUUUUUUCAUUUUUCAUUUUUUUUUUUGGUCUAACUAACUCCAAAAGGUUGGGAAAGAGUUUCUACAAAGGUUUUGGACAGUCAUUUUAAACCUAAUGCCAAAAACCUUAAACCUUACCAUAGCCCCAUAACCUAAUACCUGGGUAUUACCUUCAGGAAGCCCGAACACCCCAAAUAUUUUUUUUUCCUUUUUCAUAUUUUUUGGUCUAAGUAACUCCAAAAGGUUGGAAAAGAGUUCCUACAAAGGUUUUGGACAGUGAUUUUAACCCUAACGCCAAAAACCUUAAACUUUUCCCUAGUCCCAAAACCUAAUACCCGGGUAUUACUUUCAGGAAGCCCGAAAACCCCCAAUAAUUUUUUUUUCUUUUUUCAUUUUUUUUUUUGGUCUAAGUAACUCCAAAAGUUUGGAAAAGAGUUCCUACAAAGGUUUUGGACAGUGAUUUUAACCCUAACGCCAUUAAGCUUAAACCUUACCAUAGCCUUUAAAUCUAAUACCCGGGUAUUACCACAGGAAGCCCGAAAACCCCAAAUAUUUUUUUUUCCUUUUUCAUAUUUUUUUGGUCUAAGUAACUCCAAAAGGUUGGAAAAGAGUUCCUACAAAGGUUUUGGACAGUGAUUUUAACCCUAACGCCAUAAAACUUAAACCUUACCCUAGCCUUAAAAUCUAAUACCCGGGUAUUACAUUCAGGAAGCCCGAAAACCCCAAACAUUUUUUUUUCAUUUUUCAUUUUUUUUUUUGGUCUAACUAACUCCAAAAGGUUGGGAAAGAGUUUCUACAAAGGUUUUGGACAGUGAUUUUAAACCUAAUGCCAAAACGUUAAACCUUACCAUAGCCCCAUAACCUAAUACCCGGGUAUUACUUUUAGGAAACCUGAACACUCCAAAUGUUUUUUUUUUCAUUUUUCAUUUUUUUUGGUCUAACUAACUCCAAAAGGUUGGAAAAGAGUUCUUACAAAGGUUUUGGACAGUGAUUUUAAACCUAAUGCCAAAACGUUAAACCUUACCAUAGCCCCAUAACCUAAUAACCGGGUAUUACUUUUAGGAAGCCUGAACACCCCAAAUAUUUUUUUUUCAUUUUUCAUUUUUUUUUUGGUCUAAGUAACUUCAAAAGGUUGGAAAAGAGUUCCUACAAAUGUUUUGGACAGUGAUUUUAACCCUAACGCCAUAAAACUUAAACCUUACCAUAGCCCCAUAACCUAAUACCCGGGUAUUACUUUUAGGAAGCCUGAACACCCCAAAUAUUUUUUUUUCAUUUUUCUUUUUUUUUGGUCUAACUAACUCCAAAAGGAUGGAAAAGAGUUCCUACAAAGGUUUUGGACAGUAAUUUUAACCCUAAUGCCAAAAAACUUAAACCUUACCCUGGCCUUAAAAUCUAAUACCCGGGUAUUACAUUAAGGAAGCCCGGAAACCCCAAAUUUUUUUUUUUCAUUUUUCAUUCUUUUUUUGGUCUAACUAACUCCAAAAGGUUGGAAAGAGUUCCUACAAAGGUUUUGGACAGUGAUUUUAAACCUAAUGCCAAA